rnacentral:rRNA from 1 species
UACGUAGGGGGCAAGCGUUGUCCGGAAUCAUUGGGCGUAAAGGGCUCGUAGGCGGCCAACUAAGUCAUACGUGAAAUCCCUCGGCUUAACCGGGGAACUGCGUCUGAUACUGGAUGGCUUGAGUUCGGGAGAGGGAUGCGGAAUUCCAGGUGUAGCGGUGAAAUGCGUAGAGAUCGGGAGGAACACCAGAGGCGAAGGCGGCGACCUGGACAGAUACUGACACUCAACUACGAAAGCGUGGGGAGCAAACAGGG